ACUGGACUAGUUUCACAAGCAUUGUCUUUCUCCGAUGAGCAAAAGAAGGAGGCUGGAGAAAAGGCUGCAAGCUGUAUUUCGGAUGUGUCUUAAAUCGAUGACUUGAGUUUUGUGAAAGAACUGAACAACAGUUAACAGGUCAAACAUUUAAGUUAUGACGGGACAAAGUGAGUUUAUUAGAUUGAUGAGUUUAAGUGUUUUCUUUCGUCAUGCUUACAGUCUAAAUUACUAGCAAUGCAGGUAUUUCUUAACUGUUAGAUUGAAGGGCUAUACUAUAUGUUAUCGUCAUGUUUUGUGAUAAUAUACAUGGUUUGA